rnacentral:lncRNA from 1 species
UCCUCAAAACCAGGAAGGGGAGAGAAAGGCCAGGCCCAGCAGGCAGGCAGCAUCAGUCAGGACCACGCUCAGCUGCGUGGAGGAGAGAGCUGGCUUCUUUGGCUUAGACAAGGGUGGCAAUGUUUUCCUCACUAAUGAGGAAUCUGGGCGGGGCAGUCCAGAGUAGGUGCUGGUGCCCGAGGAACUCGUGAGGACCUGGCUCCUUCUCGCUGCUCCUCAGUCACCUUGGCAUCGCGUCUAUGCUCCAGUCAAGGUAAAGGGGGAGGAACAGCCUUGGAGAUGGUGCCACGGAAGCUCCACCCUGUGAGUUUUGCCUCCAUUUGCAGUCAGCCAGCACUGAUUUCCAUGGCCUCUUCUGAUCAGAAGGGAAUCCGGGAGAGCAGAGGAGUUGUAACUGGCUGCUUUGCCACCCCAAAUAGAAUCGAGUUCUCUUGGAUGGCGCUCUCAGCAGAGGAGACCUCGGCCGGCCCGCUGUCUGCCCUUCUGCAGCCAAAAGCUGAGACGAAGGCACUGUUGGAAGCACUCUCCGGGCGGCAGCAGACGCUCAGAAUGGAGUUUCAAUUGAACUCACUGCAUUUCAGCUCACUGAAAAACGCAGCACACGGAAGGGCGCCACGAGAACACGCUGAAGGCCCAGAAUCGGGAGUGCGGGGAGGCUUCAUUAAAUCAGCCCUGAGGUUACAGGAAGGAAAAGCAAACCUCUCCUCCCAGAGUUGACCCGGCUCAAGUCCUGCGGCCGCUAGAGAACUUGGAGAUGUUAGCAGGAUGAAUGUAGACAUCCCGGAGUCGGGCACUUCCCUGCCAGCUGCACAAGCAAGAAGUCGGUGUAGAGACAGACACCGCUCUGACUGUCCACCUGGAUUCUGUGUGCAAGGAACACACAUGGCCAGAGAGGCUGAAUUACUGUUUCAGAUUAUGAUGCAAAGGACAGACUUUCUUGAAGGAGCUUACUUCUACCGACUCCUGUUAUUUGCCACUCAGGACCUGGGAGCCUCGAGCCGGCCCUGCAUGGAGAGUGCAUUUGGGAGGGUAAAGCAGGAACUAAACCUACCGGUUCCUGGACAGGGAGCUGUGGGGUCUGGAGUCCGAGCUGCGGGUUGUGCCACACGGGAAACACGUCUACAAGGGAAAGUGACAGGCUGUUAGGAGGGGGACCCAGUGUGUCACCAACUUAGCACGCACCCCAGGAAGGCCCCAUACAACCCCGCUGCCCCUCCUUUCUCACGGGACUCUCUCUAGGUGCACGGGCUUAAACGUGAUCACUGUUCACGCACCGCCUCUCAACAGCCCCUCUGUCCACGCCUCCCAGAAUUUGAAGACAGGACACACGACUGAAAGAAAGGGCAGGACUCACCUGAAACCACAGCCUUCAGUCUAACCACAGGACAGGAGGCGGAGAAUUAACUUUAGUUCAGUCAGUCCAUCCGCGCUGGGUGCCAGAACCCUGGUCACAAUGGUAUGGCCCGGCAGAGGGCACUGGAGGGCGUGGGUUCUGGGACGAAUGUCCCGUAGCAGAGAAAACAGUUUUCCUUGACCCUCUUGGUGUCCCUGGCUGGGUCUGAAAAUUAAACUGACAAAGACAGAUUAAUAGGAGAAAAGCUGACAAAUUCAUUUAAUAUCAGCUCCAUGUGUCAUGGGAGCCUAUGUUCAUAAGGAAAUGAAGACCCAAAAAAAGGGUUAAAACUGAGCGUUUUCAGGCUGUGCUGGAUGAAGAGUGGAGAGGCGUCGGAAAAUGACAUAGGACAAAGGGUGUGAGCUGAGGGGAUUGACCGGGGCGGGGGGGGACGAGGCAAGGCCUGUGGCCCGAGAGGACACCUCAGUGUCCCUCCAUCCUGCGAUAAGGAUGCUCCUGUCCUCGGGUACCAGGAGGGCACCUCUCACAUGAGCUCUUAGGACCUGCCUCAGGGGAGGCCAGAGAGCCCUGCCUGCACCUGCCGUUCCUCCGACUCCAUCAGCUUAAGACCCACGACAUGCAGGAUGAGGUGCGACAUUUUGGGGCAGUACGUCCUGAACCCCAUCAGUCACGAUGUGAAACAAAGGAGUCAGUGCCUUGGAACCGCCACCGUCUGUCCCAUCUGCAGUCCUGUAUUUCCUGGGAUCUGAAGGAAGUUCAUUUCUGAAGGCAAACUGGAGGCCCAUGCCACAGCCCAGUGCCGAUCCACGUCCCCUUAUUUUGGUGUUGCUGCUAGCACAGGAGAUGCGCAGUGUCUCAGAAACCGAUCUGCAUCUUGGCGAUUGAGAUGAGAUUUGUUUGGUAGAAAAACCAAAUGGUUUUCUAGAUGUUGGCUGUACAAAUCAUGAGGACUGCGCGAAAGUAAUGGGCUGAGCUGACUGCCAACAGGAACUGCUAUUUAAAGAUGGGUGUGGCGCUCAAGGAGCUACUGGAGUGGACACCGCCCAGCCUGGACCCCUCUGGCAGGCCACUUCCCCAGCUUCCAGGAGUGUCGGCUGCGAAUAUCGCACAGCUUCCCUUUCUCCAGAGAAUUGCCCUGGGCCAACAGAAGCCUCUUUGCAGGAGGCCACUGUCCUCUCCACCCAGCCUGUAGAAAUGAUGGACGGGACAGGAGGGGUACAAAAGCUGAGGUGCCUUGCUGGAGGGCCUCCCCCUCUUCCCCAGCCUGCUUCCCUCAGCUCCUGCAGCUUCUUCCUUUCAAGGACCCUCUCAGUGGAUCCCGGACCCCUGAAUUCUGUCUCAGGCUCUGCCUCAGGGAGCCCAGCCCUUCCCUAUCUUACUGUUGAAGACACGUGGGUGUGAGAGGUGGAGACAUAAGGGCGCCCUUGCUCUUCUGUGCCUGCAGUCGAUUUGGCAGGUUGCUUCUCGUGUGCUCUCUGCAGAAACAGAUGCCCUUGUGAUGACUGCAUCCGGGACCUCUGCGGACUUGAGCAGUUAUUUGAGUUCCAACUUUCACCAGUUGUGAGAAGACUUUAAAUAUUCUGACCCUAAACCGUCUUGGGAUGGCUGAUGUCAUGAAAAUUCUUGAGUCAUAGAAGCCAUUUGCUGUUUAUUCUGCUGAGAGUGUUUUGCAGAAUCUUUCAUCCUUGAGCCUUCUGUUGUAGUCUCAGGUCUGUGGCGUUUUUAAUGACUUGGAAACACGGGCCUGGACUAUCCAGAAGCCUCUGCUAUUCCUUUAUGGGGAAUGCUCUCUCCCUUCCCCUCUGCCGAAUCAAGUCCCUCAGCCUACAGAAACCACGCUCCUGGAACAUUCUCUGAGGACCCUGCCCCUGUCUGCUCACUCGGGUCACUCCUCCAUCCCUCUGACAUUGCUCAUUAGAAUUCCACAGAGGUGUGCUCAGUCAAAGUGAAGACACAUGCAGGCUUUCUUCAUUUAAAAUUAAAAAAAAAAUUUGUGGAGGGGCCAGCACAGUGGUGUAGUGGUUAAGUUCGUGUGCUUGGCUUUCGCGGCCCAGAGUUCAAGGGUUUGGAUCUGGGGUGCAGACCUACACACUGCUCAUCAAGCCAUUCUGUGGUGGCGUCCCGCAUAAAAUAGAGGAAGAUUGGCACAGUUGUUAGCUCAGCAGCAAUCUUCCUCAAGCAAAAAGAGGAAAAACAUUGGCAACACAUGUUAGCUCAGGGCCAAUCUUCUUCACCAAAAAAAAAAAAAAAAAUUGUGGAAUAACAUACAUAAAGGGCACACAUCUUAAGGGUGCAGGUUGAUGAAUUUUUACAAACGUAUUUCCCAGGAAAGCACCACCUGUGUCGAGAUCUAGGAUGUUUCCUUCUCAGUCCAUUAUCAUCCACCCACCAGGAACAGCUAUGCAGGAAAGCCACAGAACCCUUUUGCUGAUGGGUGAGCUGAGAUGGUCUGAGGCUAAGCGGCUGCCCCAAGUCCUGGAGAACAUCGGGGCGAAGUGAAGCUGUAAUCUCGUUGUCGCUGCCUCUCUCUCUGGGAUUCAGUCCUCGGCUUCCCUGAGCCCUGGGAGUGCUUAGGACUGUGCCAUGGAAGGAGACGCUCACACAGAUGGCACUGGGGGCCUCACGGUUUCGGAACCGUCCUCUUUUCAGUUCUUGUCGUGCUGUUGUUUCAGUGUGUGUGUGAGGGUUUGUGGCCUGUCCUUAACCUCUACCCUCUGUGACACUUUUUAUUGUGUUACUUUUAAGAAACCGGAUGUAGAAAGUUACAGGUUUAGGACACGAUGAGGGGAGCCGUUAGUCAGCGCUCUUCCACAGUGGACGCGCGUGGCGUUUCCAGUUUCUGGGGAGCUCGGUGCUCUGAGGACCACAGUUCAGGAGAGGCCGCUGUGCUGACCCCCUGUCCACCGUAUCUUUCCUUUUUGCCAUAAGCUCUCUUUUUUGUUUCCUGUGGAAUCACGUUUCCUAUUUAUAGUAGAAAUGAAUGGGAAACAGGAUUCAUUUGAUAAAAAGAAGUGAUGCCCAACUUCGCCAGAUAAUGUUUGAUGCCUUUGUAACAUAGAGAUACUCUCUAUUUGAUUCACAAACGUGUGCAAUUGGAACUACUCCAUGUAAACAACAUGCAGGAGGCACUUUUCACAUGAAGAGUUUGAAGACAGAGGGGCUAGGGGACAAAUUUGGACAAAUUUUGAGAGAAUUUGUAAAAUAAUUUAAAGUCACCUCUAUCUUCUCUUAAGUUUGGAGUUUGUUUGUCUUCACAUUGUUUAUCUUGAUGGGUUGUGCAGGGGAAGAAAAAUAUCUUUUCCUUCUACCCUUCUAGGUAUCUGGCUGGGGCCCUUCUAACAAAACACAGAUGAAUAAGAGAAAAGCAUAGAAAUUUAUUUAACAUAAGGUGUAUGUGACAUGGGAGACUUCGUGAGAAAACGAGGACCUGAAGAAGCGAUUGAACCUGAGUGUCUUUAUACUAGGUUUGAUGAAGAGCGGAAAGUCAUGGAAAAUGCGAUAGGACAAAGAGUAUGAGCUGAGGGGAGUGAACUGGGGAAACACAGCAAGGCCUCUUGGUCCAGAUCCUUCUCAGCAUCCCUCCUUCCUCGGAGGUAAGGAUGCUCCUCUCCUCGGGUACCAGGAGGGCCUCUCUCAUGAGGGUUUAGUGACCUGCUUCAGGGAGGGUCAGAGGGUCCUUCCUGCACCUGCUGUUUCUCAAAUUUCAGCUUAAACUAUUCAAUAUGCCAAGGUACCAUAUUUUGGGCUGUUGUGUCCUGAGCCCUGUCGUGGGGUAUAUUGAAAGCUUUCAACAUCACUAGCAUUUCAUUGCUUCUUUAUAAAUGGACUGAAAUGGGAAUUUCUCCCAAUUCCUAUCUUCUUUCUGUUUUUCUUAACUCAAAUUCAUGACUGAGAUAAUUGUAAUUUUCUUCUUGACUUCUAGUGUGAUUUAACAGGAUGCUCUAUGACCAAUAGCAUAUACGUUAGUGGCAAUUGACCCCUCAAUUUUGAGACAUGUUUAACUGUUUUUGAUUCCUCAAGCUCAAAUCAUGAAUGUACCCAAAUAAAGAAUAAAAUACUCUUCUUGAAAACACACACGCAGUAAAAUAGUAAAUAUGAACAAAGGAUCUGGUGCUGGCACAUGUUAAAAUUCAGGUAAUGAUGCUCUUUCUCUGUUUUGAAAAAAGUUAAAAUUCCACAUAGGUGCUCAGUCCAGGAAGGAAAGUCUUCACAAUCUACUUUGUUCAUGAGAUGCUUUAACAAUAAACAGCAUGGCUAUUCUGGAAGCACCUGUUAAACCAAUUAUAUGGCAAAUUUUCAAGUUCUAGAAUGAGCAGAUUUGUAAUUGGUGAAAGAUUUGAUAACCAAGAGAAGACAGGCUCUCGAGGAGACAGCAGGUGGUGAACAGGGAGUGUGUGAGCGGGAUCUUGCUGGUGUCUGUGUCUUACUGCAACCUGGAAAUUAGCCACUUUUACAUGCAAUAUUUUUUUUUCACGUAACAGUUCCCAAAUAAACAGUUAAAGCAGUUUCCGGUGAUUAAGGCAAUAUAGGAGAUUAGUUUUGUUAUGUAUAAUCACCUUUGCUUCUCCUUUAUUGAUGAAAAGAGUUUUUCUCAGCGGGUUGUGUUAUCUCUUUUAGAUGUUGCCUGAUCUUGUUUUUUAAAUGUAAAUCAGCUUUUUAAUCUUUUUUUAUGUAAAUUUGAUAGCCCGGUACCAGCAAUUAUUCUGCUUUGUUGCAGCUCCCUCUUUAGAACUGUCUCUGUUUUAUGUUUAAUUGUCCUAAUUGUCCAAAUUUGAAUAAACCUGGAGAACAGCAAUGGAGAUCAUUACUUGUUUUUAAAUUUACAAAAAGGUUUAAGCCCUGCUUCCUGAACUUCCCUUUAAGUCUUUACGUUGGUAAUGGUGAUCUGCGAGAUUGGAAAACCUUGUUAUUGUCCCCAGAGCUGCCACUCCAAAUUAUAGGUUUGUUUAUUCUUGUUUUACUACUUUAUAUCAGACUUCUCCUUCUUAUGAACAUGAUAAAAAGCUCAUCAGAGAAAAUUUACAUUCACUUUUUAAUCAGCGCAGGAGUUUAGCA